GUGAGUUCGUUGGUGUAAUCUAAGUGUUCUAUUUUGACUGAAGCACUUUCCACAUUCAAUACAUUUAAAUGGUUUCUCCCCCGUGUGAGUUCGUUGGUGUAUUCUAAGUGCUCCACUUUGACUGAAGCUGUUUCCACAUUCAAUACAUUUAAAUGGUUUCUCCCCCGUGUGA